UACGUAGGGGGCAAGCGUUGUCCGGAAUCAUUGGGCGUAAAGAGCGUGUAGGCGGCCCGAUAAGUCCGCCGUGAAAGCCCAGGGCUCAACCCUGGGAUGCCGGUGGAUACUGUCGGGCUAGAAUCCGGAAGAGGCGAGUGGAAUUCCUGGUGUAGCGGUGGAAUGCGCAGAUAUCAGGAGGAACACCGAUAGCGAAGGCAGCUCGCUGGGACGGUACUGACGCUGAGGCGCGAAAGCGUGGGGAGCGAACAGG
rnacentral:rRNA from 1 species